UUUCCUCUUGACGUGUUGACGCGGCCUCUUUCUCCAUUGAGAACAUCCGUCAGAGAGAAAGAUCUGCUUAAACCGAGCAAACGGUUGCUAUGGCGAGUUCAGAUGCAGGAACAUCAUCUGGAAGUGAGUAUCAAGUCUUCUUGAGCUUUAGAGGACCCGACACUCGCGUUGGAUUCACUGACGUGCUCUUCCAUAGCUUGGCCGAUGUUGGAAUUUGCGUCUUUCGAGAUGACGAAGAACUCCGUGUUGGUGAAAGGAUUGAUGGAUCGCUUCUGCGAGCGAUCGACAACUCUCAAAUCUACAUACCCGUCUUCUCUAGGACGUACGCUUCAAGCCAAUGGUGCCUCCGUGAGCUUGCGCAAAUCGUGGCAAACACCUUGAAAUCAGAAGGUAAUAAAGAGAUCCUACCUAUUUUCUUUGAUGUGGAACCUGAUGAUGUCAAGUUGAAAACUCCACUAUAUCACGAUGCCAUACUCAAUUUGGAGAGUGAGAAGAAGUUGAGCAAUGAGCAAGUCAAUGUUUGGAGAGAGGCUCUCAUGGAGGUUGAUGCGAUAAAGGGGUGGGAAGUGAAGAAGUACACAGGCCACGGCGAGCUAAUCAAAUUGAUAGUUGAAGAGGUCUUGAAAAAAUUGAAGAAAAAACAUAGAUUGGUGACUGAGCAUUUAGUUGGAAUUGAUGAGCAAGUACUGGCAGUAAGCAACUUAUUAGACAUCGACUCCGUUGGUACGAGACUCAUUAAAAUUUAUGGCAUGGGGGUAUUGGUAAAACGACUCUAGCAAAGGUCGUUUUCAACCAACUCUCUUUUCAUUUUGGAAAGUAUUGUUGUUUCCUUGAAGAUGUUCGAGCGAAUUCAUCAAAAACCGAUGGCUUAGUUGACUUGCAAAAAAGAUUACUAUCUGAAAUUGGCCAUCCAAGGAGCAUUAACGAAAUGGAUUCCGGAAUGAAGAGCAUUCAACAAGUACUUUGCAAUAAGAGAGUUCUCAUUGUACUUGAUGACGUUGAUAACAAAGAACAAGUGGAGAAAUUAGUUGGAAACAGUGCUUUGCUUUCAGCAUCUAGAAUAUUGAUUACAACCAGAAAUAAAGAUGUUUUGCAAACCAAUGGACCAAAGUAUCAAAUUUUAGAGUAUGGAGUGGAGGUUAUGACUAUCGAUCAUGCACUUGAGCUUUUCAGUAGGCAUGCGUUUAACAGAAACUUUCCUUCGGGUGAUUACAAAGAUCUUUCAAAGGAAAUCGUAUUUACCACUGGGAGACUUCCAUUGGCACUUGAAGUAAUUGGUUCGUUCCUCUAUCACAAACCGCAAGAAAUAUGGCAAGAGACAUUGGACAAAUUAAGUAAAGCACCUCACGAGGAUGUUUUUGGAAAGCUAAAGAUCAGCUAUGAUGCCUUAAGUUUUGAGCAACAACAAAUUUUCCUUGAUAUUGCAUGCUUUUUUAUUGGUGAAGAUAAGACAAAUGCAAUGUACAUGUGGAACGAUUGUGAUUUUCUUCCAAAUACUGGAGUUGUUGUCCUCAUUAGCAUGUCUUUGGUAAAGAUUGUGGAGAACAAUAAAUUUUGGAUGCACGAUCAACUCAGAGAUCUUGGAAGAAGAAUUGUUUAUUUGGAAAAUCGAAUGAAUCUUAAAGGGCGGAGCAGGAUAUGGAAUCAAAAGGAGGCUUUUGAUGCCACAAGAACAAAGGAGAUAAGCAAGAAGGUUCAAGCACUAAAUCUUGACAUUUCCACGCGAAGUUCCCAGGAUGUUGUUGUUCAAAGUAAAGAGAUUGGAAGAUUUAAACAUCUAAGAUUCCUUAAAUUAUCUAGUUUAACCCUUGUUGGCGACACAAUGAAUCAUCUUGCCAAAGUGAGUUGGAUUUCUUUAAGGAGUAUCUAUAAAUGGACUAACAUGUACCUAAACAAGGUAGUGGUUCUUGAACUUUCAGCAGUUGAGUUCUUGGAUGAUUCAAGAUUACAAGAUUUAAUUAAGAUGGCAAGUCAACUAAAAGUUCUUUCUCUUGAAAAAUGUGGCAACUUAACCCGAACACCAGACUUCUCCGAAUGCCUGAAUUUAGAGAGGCUUACUUUCCGAUCUUGUUUCGAAUUGAGGGAAAUUGACAGCUCUAUUGGGAAAUUAAAAUGUCUCAUUAACUUGAAGAUUGAACAUUGCUCUUCUCUUGAACAUUUGCUUGAAGAAAUCGGGGAUCUAGUGAAACUACAAUACUUUUUUGUCGAAGAUACUAAAGUGAAUAAACUCCCAGAUUCCAUAUGGAAGUUGAAAUCAUUACGUGAGGUGUGCUUUCGGGGACGAUGGAUUCAAUAUUCAGGAAAUUUGUGGGGCUUACCUAGUGCAAGUGGGCUGCUUGAAAAGUUGGAAGUGCUUAAAAUCAGCGAUUGCGAUCUAAAAGAUCUUCCUUCUACAAUCGGAAAUUUGCACUCUCUAAGAAUCUUGGAUCUAUCAUUUACUCACAUUAGUGAAAUUCCAAAGACCAUUAGUAUGCUUACUCGCCUACAAAGAAUUAAGUUGCUCUACUGUUUUGAGAUUCGAGAGUUGCCGACACUCCCAACAAGUUUAACUCAUCUAUUUGUGUCGUCUUCAUCAUUGCGGGUAGUCCCAGAUCUCUCCAACUUGACUAAUUUGGUUGAGUUGCAUCUAUUUAAAUGGGGAAAUGUAGGAGACAAACCUUGUACUGGUGGAUUAUGGUGGAUUGGGAGGUUAUCAAAAUUGACCUUUUUAAGUGUUGGACUUGAAAAAGUCUCUAUUCCAUGGGGGACGGCUUCCCUUCCUUUGCUAAAACAUCUUGAUAUAUAUCGAUUGGACAAGCAAAAUUUUCUGCCAUUUUCCUUCUCUACACAAAGGCUAGGCCUUGAUAAUUUCAAUUCAGCUGCAUCACUCUCUCCGGGAUUGAGAGAUUUGACAUUUUUAUUUCUUGGUGAUUCUCGAAUGCAAGAAUUUCAACUCGAUGGGCUUCAACUUCCGCAACUAAAGGAGUUGCGUGUGCACAGCUGGGCACUCCUCAAGAGGUUGAGGCUAUCAAGAAUGAGGAAGCUGAGAGAAGUCAUGGUGAGCUGGUGUCCAAAGCUAGUUGAGAUCCAAUUGUCUUGGGUGUUCGAAUCAUUGGAGGCCUUGUCUAUUGAUGAUUGUGUGUCCUUGGAAAGGCUAGUUUACGAGACUGCUAAUGAAUUGAUUAGUUGUGAAGGGAAACUAAUUUUUCCGUCAAGAGUCUUAAAUAAGUUGCGGGCUCUCACACUGCGGAAAUGCUUUAAGAUACUCAAUAUUCAAGUUGUAGGUACGUCGGAAUCGUGGGAAAAGAUUAACCUUGACUGUUGUUGUUGUCUACAAAGUCUUGGUGGUUUGGCAAACAUAAAGAACCUGAAGAGUUUGGAUAUCUGUAACUGCAAUAGCCUACGGGUUGUUGAGGGUGUCGACGAGUUGGAGUUUCUGGGCCAAUUAAAUGUUUGUUACUGCCGCUCGUUGGAAAGGUUGAUUGAUGUAUCAACCACGAAACUGCCAAGUGAUUGCAGCAUAUGUAUCGACGAUUGCAAGAAACUACGAGGGGUUCGGAAUCCAUUCAGUGGUCCCGUGAUGAAUCUAGGGCUUCCAUCCGAUGCUAUAAGCAUUAGAAACCCCGCCAGUCCACCACCAACACUGCCACCGUCGCCGCCAACCACCACCGUCGCUGUCGGCACCCAACCACCACCACUGUCGCCAAGAAGAGGAAAGGAAGCUCAGAGGGUUGCGAAGAGGAAAAGAAGAAGAGGGCCUAGAAGUGUGAUUAGUUCCAGUGCGGUCGGUUGUGUCUGUAGCUCGUCGUCACCCAACCACCACCGUCGCCGAGAAGAGGAAAGGAAGCUCAAGCGGUUGCGGAGAAGAGGAAAGGAAGAAGGGGGCUGGAAGUGUGAUUGGUUCCAAUGCAGCCGAUUGUGUCCGCAGCUCGUCUUUGCCGACAUUCGCCGUCGUUGGGCCUAGUUGGCCGAUUCGCCAUCAAAAACAAGGCAGGUGGCGAUCGGCAGCAUCAUUCGGGCCUAUCGUUUGCGUAUUGGUUUUGGUUGGGUUUGGCGGUGUUCGAGUUGAACGAACCUUUGCGAGGCUACCAAAUCGAUGAAACAUGCUUCGAUUGGACCUAAACUUGUUUUGGAAGGCUUGGAGUCGAGUGAUGAUUGUUAGCACGCAGGGACUGACAAGCAUUUUAUAUCAACAUUUUGGGUGACAGGACUCUCUCAAGUCUCGACACUUCUUGCAGUUGCACUUGCUUACCCCGUGAAUUCUUGAACUUUUUGUUCAUGGUGGCGGUCGAAGACACCUGGUCGACUCGUUGUGGCUGCUGAGUCCGGUUGGUGUCGCAACCGAGUGGAAUUGAAGAAGCCGGUCUCUUUGACGCCUCUUGACUCAUUAGGGCCAUGCUGCAUUUCCAGUUUUCGCCAUCGCCAUUUCUAUUUCCCACGCUUGUUUCAGUUCUCUUUGCUCUUCUUCCUGUGGGUCUCUUCCUGUCUGCGAUUUGCUUGACCAGAAUUCCAUGGACAAGAUAGAAUGGUUUGUUGGGGUUCUAAGUCGUUUCUUUAAUUAUGGAUUGCUUUUUAGCUGUCACAACUGUUUUUGGAACGAGAUUAUUACGGAGCAAUGCAGGGCAAGGACUUCGUCUUCACUCUGUCUAACGGCCUGAGGCAGAGGAUCUUAUCAUUCCAUGGUUUAUUGGAUUUGAUAUUGGAAUGAGAAUUUAAAUUUCUUUUGCGAUCCUGACUUUAUUCUCUCAACGGUGAAGAGUCUGAAUGUCUGCUAAGAAUGACUGACUUCAAAUACCAGAUUACCAGGACAUCAAGUUAGGAUGCAGGGGAGACCUCAUCAUUUUCAAGCUAGAUAUAUGAAUUACCCCCGUGGCUGAUUAAAGAGAGGUGAUUCUGCUUCAUUUCAGUCCUCGUUGUUUGAAGAUUUCUUAGAUGGGAGGAAAAAUCAAGAUCUGGCACGUCCACUUUGAACAAUGACAACUUGUCAUAAUCAGCAUCCAGGUGAUUCUGCCAUCUGCAAGGGAAAUAGUGAGGAUAGCAUAAGAGAAAGGAGAAUCCCAAUGGCCCCGGAAUUUUCUAAAGAAAGGGGAAAACAAAAUUGGGAACCCCUUUGAGUUGGCUAUAGUACACAGAACCUCCUCUUUUCGUGAAGACAACAUCUCUUUGUCAAAACAUUGCAGCUAUAACAUUCUUGCACUUAUCUCUUUUGCAAAAGCAUAUGUGAACUAGCCUUUAAGGGACCUCAGCCAGUCUAUUAAA